CUAGUACACUACAGAGAUCUGGCUCAGGAGUCCUAACAAGGUAACCCCCUAGUUUUUUUCCGGGGCACGGAAGAGUAACGCGGGGACCCCUGCCUGAUGGAGGGGGAUAACUACUGGAAACGGUAGCUAAUACCGCAUAACGUCGCAAGACCAAAGAGGGGGACCUUCGGGCCUCUUGCCAUCAGAUGUGCCCAGAUGGGAUUAGCUAGUAGGUGGGGUAAUGGCUCACCUAGGCGACGAUCCCUAGCUGGUCUGAGAGGAUGACCAGCCACACUGGAACUGAGACACGGUCCAGACUCCUACGGGAGGCAGCAGUGGGGAAUAUUGCACAAUGGGCGCAAGCCUGAUGCAGCCAUGCCGCGUGUGUGAAGAAGGCCUUCGGGUUGUAAAGCACUUUCAGCGAGGAGGAAGGUGGUGAACUUAAUACGCUCAUCAAUUGACGUUACUCGCAGAAGAAGCACCGGCUAACUCCGUGCCAGCAGCCGCGGUAAUACGGAGGGUGCAAGCGUUAAUCGGAAUUACUGGGCGUAAAGCGCACGCAGGCGGUUUGUUAAGUCAGAUGUGAAAUCCCCGGGCUCAACCUGGGAACUGCAUUUGAAACUGGCAAGCUAGAGUCUCGUAGAGGGGGGUAGAAUUCCAGGUGUAGCGGUGAAAUGCGUAAAGAUCUGGAGGAAUACCGGUGGCGAAGGCGGCCCCCUGGACGAAGACUGACGCUCAGGUGCGAAAGCGUGGGGAGCAAACAGGAUUACAUACCCUGGUAGUCCCACGCUGUAAACGAUGUCGAUUUUGGAGGUUGUGCCCUUGAGGCGUGGCUUCCCGGAGCUAACGCGUUAAAUCGACCGCCCUGGGGAGUACGGCCCGCAAGGUAAAAACUCAAAUGAAUUGACGGGGGCCCCGCCACAAAGCGGUGGGAGCUUGUGGUUUUAUUUCGAUGCAACGCGAAGACCCUUACCUACUCUUGAAAUCAGAAGAACUUUUCCAGAUAUGGAUUGGUGCCUUUCCUGAACUCCUGAAACUAGGUGUUGCAUUGUCU
rnacentral:rRNA from 1 species